GUUAAAACCUGAAGGACCUGGCACCCAGACCACUUCAUUGAGCUGAAGUGGUCUGGAUGACUAUAGUGUCCCUUUAAUGAAGCAGUUUUGGUGUAUAGAUCAUGCCCCUGUAUAGAUCUGCUAUUUAGGAGUGAAAUCACUACAUUAGUAAAUGUUUGCUGGUUUUAUGUAACUCAUUGUCAUGUUUUGGUGUUCAAUAAAUU